rnacentral:rRNA from 1 species
CCUACGGUAUGCAGCAGUGAGGAAUAUUUGUCAAUGGACGCAAGCCUGAACCCGCCAAGUAGCGUGAAGGAUGACUGCCCUAUGGGUUGUAAACAUCUUUUAUAUGGGAAUAAAACGUUCCACGUGUGGGAUUUUGGAUGUACCAUAUGAAUAAGGAUCGGCUAACUCCGUGCCAGCAGCCGCCGUAAUACGGAGGGUUCGCACGUUAUCCGGAUUUGUUGGGGUUAAAGGGCGCGUUGGUGGAAUGUUAAGUCCAUUGUGAAAGUGUGGGGCUCAACCGUAAAAUUGACGUUGAAACUGGCCGUCUUGAGUAAAGUAGAGGUAGGCGGAAUUCGUGGUGUAGCGGUGAAAUGCUUAGAUAUCACGAAGAACUCCGAUUGCGAAGGCAGUUCACUGGACUGCAACUGACACUGAGGCUCGAAAGUGUGGGUAUCAAACAGGAUUAGAUACCCGAGUAGUC